rnacentral:rRNA from 1 species
AUUGAACGCUGGCGGCAGGCCUAACACAUGCAAGUCGAGCGGAUGAAGGGAGCUUGCUCCUGGAUUCAGCGGCGGACGGGUGAGUAAUGCCUAGGAAUCUGCCUGGUAGUGGGGGAUAACGUCCGGAAACGGGCGCUAAUACCGCAUACGUCCUGAGGGAGAAAGUGGGGGAUCUUCGGACCUCACGCUAUCAGAUGAGCCUAGGUCGGAUUAGCUAGUUGGUGGGGUAAAGGCCUACCAAGGCGACGAUCCGUAACUGGUCUGAGAGGAUGAUCAGUCACACUGGAACUGAGACACGGUCCAGACUCCUACGGGAGGCAGCAGUGGGGAAUAUUGGACAAUGGGCGAAAGCCUGAUCCAGCCAUGCCGCGUGUGUGAAGAAGGCCUUCGGAUUGUAAAGCACUUUAAGUUGGGAGGAAGGGCAGUAAGUUAAUACCUUACUGUUUUGACGUUACCAACAGAAUAAGCACCGGCUAACUUCGUG